ensembl:lncRNA
CAGACGGAGCUGCGCGAGGCCGACGCUGUGUUCUGGGCGGCCCCCCGGCGCUAUGGGGCGCCCCACAGCCGCCUGCUGCGCGCCGCCCCGCUGCCCCGCCUGGUGCGGCACCUGCUGGAGAGCCGCGCGCUGGGCGACGGCGCCUUCGUCCCCGCCUUCCUCGGCACCUUCCGGGCCUUCGCGCGGCCCCACGACGUCCUGCGCCUCCUGCUGCAGCGGAUGGAGGAACUGGGGGGGCUCUCGGGGGACCCCGACACCCCAGCGGCGGCUGAGGCCAAGCGGGCGCUGGCGGAGCUGCUGCCCCGCUGGCUGCAGGAUUACCCCGAGGAUUUUGGGGACGCGGCGGCGGCGGCGCUGGCGGAGCGUUUGGGGUCGGCUUUGGGGCCGGAUUCGGACGUGGGGCUGCGGCUGCGGGAGCUGCGGGAUCCCCCCGAGCCCCCCGAGCCCCCCGGGGACCCUUAUGGGGUCGGGGACGGGGACGGGGACGCCGACCCGCUGGAGAUCCUGUCCUUCCAGGCGCAGGAGGUGGCCGAGCAGCUCACGCUGACCGAGGCGGUGAGACCCCACAGCCGCCCCACAUCCCAAAUCCACGGGGCCCCGUAGCCCAGUGUCCCCAUGUCCCCAUAUCUCCAUGUUCCCGUAUCCCAGUGUCCCCAUGUCCCCAUAUCUCCAUGUCCCCAUAUCCCAGUGUCCCCACGUCCCCAUAUCUCCAUGUUCCCGUAUCCCAAUGUCUCAUUGUCCCCAUAACUCCAUUGUCCCCAUGUCCCCAUGUUCCCAUAUUCUAUUGUUUUCAUGUGCCAUUGUUCCCAUGUCCCAAUGUUCCCAUAUCCCAAUAAUCUUCCAUUGUCCCCACAUCCCAAUGUCCCCAUAUCCCCAUGUCCCCAUUGUCCCCGUAUCCCAAUGUCCCCAUAACCCCAUAUCUCCACCAUCCCAAUAUCCCCAAACCCCCAUAUCCCCCCAUCCCAAUGCCCCCAUAACCCCAUNNNNNNNNNNNNNNNNNNNNNNNNNNNNNNNNNNNNNNNNNNNNNNNNNNNNNNNNNNNNNNNNNNNNNNNNNNNNNNNNAGUGUUUGGGGUCCCUGUGGUCGCAGCGGGACAAAAAGGGGCGGCGCUGCGGCUGUCCGUCUGUCCGCGCCACCGUCCGCCACUUCAACCGCGUGGCCGCCGCCGUCGUCACCUCCUGCCUGGGGGGCGCCGGGCUGCGACCCCCCCAGAGGGCGCGGCUGCUGGAGAAGUGGAUCAGGGUGGCACAGGAGUGCCGCGCUCUGCGCAAUUUCUCGUCGCUGUGCGCCGUCAUCUCAGCCCUGCAGUCCAACCCCAUCCAUCGCCUGCGCCUCGUCUGGGGGGAGAUCAGCCGGUAGGGGGGCGUGGGGNNNNNNNNNNNNNACAUGGGGACACAGGGACACGGGGACACGGGGACACGGGGACAUGGGGACAUGGGGACAUGGGGACACGGGGACAUGGGGACACAGGGACACGGGGACACGGGGACACGGGGACACGGGGACAUGGGGACACGGGGACACGGUGCCCGGCCCCCGCAGCGAUGCGCAGCGCAGCUACGAGGAGCUCCGCGCGCUCUGCUCCGAGCAGGACAACUUCAGCGCCAGCCGCCGCCUGCUGCUCACGGUGGGGACGCGGCCCCGGCCCCAUGUCCCCAACCCGGCCCCAUGUCCCCAACCCCAUCCCUGCAUCCCCAACCCCGUCCCCAUGUCCCCAACCCGGCCCCGCGUCCCCAGCCCCAUCCCUGUAUCCCCAACCCCAUCCCUGCAUCCCCAACCCCGUCCCCAUGUCCCCACCCACGUCCCUUCAUCCCCCACCCUGUCCCUUGUCCCCCCCCCAUGUCCCCACCCCUUGUCCCCAUCUGUCCCCCCCUGUCCCCAGGACGCCCCCCAGGACCCCCCCAGCCGCCAGCCUCACAUCAGCCCGGAGCAGCGCCCCCCCGUGGUGAGGGAUGGGGACGGGAGGGGAGGGGACGCUUUGGGGACAAAAGUCUUCACCUCUGUCCCCAACCCCCCCCACCUCCCCCCAGGGCGUCGUGCCCUAUUUGGGGACGUUCCUGCGGGACCUGGUGAUGCUGGACGCCGCCAUGAAGGACGAGGUGGAGGUGGGCACCGGGCUGUCCCCGAGGGGGGGGGCUUUGGGGACACGUCUGUCCCCGUCUGCAGCUCUGUGCUCCUCCCGCAGGACGGAUGGAUCAACUUCGAGAAGCGCCGCAAGGAGUUCGAGGUGCUGGCGCAGCUGCUGGCCCUGCAGUCCUCGUGCCGCUCGUACCGCCUGCAGCCCCGGCCCCAUUUCCAGCGCUGGCUGUGGGGGCUGCGAGUCCUGCCUGAGGGGCACAGGUGGGGGGGCUGUGGGGUGGGUGCGGGGUGUCCUUGUGGGGUGGGGGACGGUACGACCCUAUGGGGUAGGGGUAUAACCCUAUGGGGGGGGGUAUAACCCUAUCGGGUGGGGGUACGGCACUAUGGGGUGGGGAAAGUCCUUAUGGGG